GAUGAACGCUGGCGGCGUGCUUAACACAUGCAAGUCGAACGGUGAAGGCGGAGCUUGCUCUGCUGGAUCAGUGGCGAACGGGUGAGUAACACGUGAGCAAUCUGCCCCUGACUCUGGGAUAAGCGCUGGAAACGGCGUCUAAUACUGGAUACGAGCUGCGAAGGCAUCUUCAGCAGCUGGAAAGAACUUCGGUCAGGGAUGAGCUCGCGGCCUAUCAGCUUGUUGGUGAGGUAACGGCUCACCAAGGCGUCGACGGGUAGCCGGCCUGAGAGGGUGACCGGCCACACUGGGACUGAGACACGGCCCAGACUCCUACGGGAGGCAGCAGUGGGGAAUAUUGCACAAUGGGCGAAAGCCUGAUGCAGCAACGCCGCGUGAGGGACGACGGCCUGCGGGUUGAAAACCUCUUUUAGCAGGGAAGAAGCGAAAGUGACGGUACCUGCAGAAAAAGCGCCGGCUAACUACGUG
rnacentral:rRNA from 1 species